GCUAAGUUGACUACGUGCUCUCAAUACUUGUCCAACUUACUGCCUGCCGCCCAAGGUCUUUAAAGAUCAUUAUAUAUUAUAGAGAUAUUCAAUAAUUAAUAUAGAUCUUGAUUCUUGUCGACAAUGACGCUGCUCAUGAUCAUCGUAUUACUACUUCACCAAUUAAAACACAGUUCUGUUUCAUCAAGUUCUGUCGUGCUCACUUUGUACAUGCCAGAGAAGAAUACAAUUAGAAUUGAACAAUGAUUUACGUUGUUGUUUGUUGGGCGUCUAUUGCACCACAUUAUUGAUGCUGAAUGAAUAUACAGUUUGGCAGCAGAAGCAUCAAAGUAAAAUCAAAUUUGCAUUUCAUUGCUAUAUUAAUUAAAAUUAAUUGUUGGCCAGAAAACUGGUUGAAAGUAAACUUGUGUGCGAAAGAAAAAAAAGGAUAAGGAAAAAACCACAUUUUUACUAAUGAUUGGUCUUAAUACAAGAUUAUUGUUUAUGCAAUUAGAUAAGUAUACCUACUAAUAUUCAAAUUCAAUCAUAUUGUUAUAGAUAGUUUUAUAGAUAAAUAAUUCUACAGCAAAUGGGAAUAGUCGAGUAAAAUAAUAAUAAAUAUAGUUAAUAAAAUAAUAUAUACUUUUUAAUUAUUUAAUUUUCGAAAAGAUUAUAGACUACGUUGAACACUUGUUCGUGUGGUGGCCCAAAUAUAAUAUUUAAUCAAUUUUUUAUUACAUACAAUUCUUAAAAUAACUAUUAAUUCAUAUUAAACUAUGCUCUUAAAAC